AACCAUAUCUAUUUCCUGUUAUACCAGAUUUUAUGUUAGACAUAACGCGUUUAAUAGAAAAAAAAAUAUGUAUUUUUUUUUUUUUAAAUAGUGGAAUACUCGUAAUAACGAGUGAUAUGCUUUAAUAUUUUAUGACGAACUUUUGACCGUGGUAUGAUAUAAGAAUACUACAUGCGUGAUAUUGUUCGAUAAUUAAAAUUGCAUAAGUUACAAAGAUAGGUUGGUGCGUAAUCAUUUUAUAGUUUGUUGGCCGACGGAUUAUUCGAAGUCUGAUUAUUAUCGUCUGUUGUACUUUACUUUAUUUGUUAGUGUUUCGAGAUGAUUUGUGCAUAAACCAAACGUUUAACCCGUGAGGUGGGCAGGGGGUGAAGUUAGGGGUUAUACCUAAAUCCUAAUUGGUUUAAAAAUAUAAAAACUACAUGAAUAUUGUAAAUUUCAAUCGAGUUCUAUGGGAAGGAUUGAUUUAUUGAUUAAAAAUUCUUUAUUUUGGAUCUGGCUUUUAUAUUCUCAUUACCGAGUUAGAUGCAUAUGACGAAGAUUCUAACGAUUUAUUUGCUACAACUCAUCCCUUUGAAAAUUCCUCGGUGCGUCACUGCGUUUAAGUUUUGUUAAUAUACAGUAGAAGUUUACGAUUUCAAAAUAUUUAAAGUAUACUUCAAACGGUCGUAGAAAGAUAGUUUUGAUGUAAUUUUAUAUUGUCCAUAAAAUUCUGCGAAAGUUUAAUUUUAAAAAUUUGCCAUUGAGAAAUAUAAGGUCAAUGUGCAAGUACACACGAUUUCACACGAGUAAAUUGUGUAGCCUACAGUGCCUGUUAUAAGGAGUCUAGUGAUUUUCAGAUUAAAACAAAUAAUUGGCCAUAAUUACAUAUUUCAUUCCACAAUUAAUUUUAGUUAAUUUAUGUGUUUUAAUAUUAUCGUACA